AGUGAACGCUGGCGGUAGGCCUAACACAUGCAAGUCGAACGGCAGCACAGUAAGAGCUUGCUCUUACGGGUGGCGAGUGGCGGACGGGUGAGGAAUACAUCGGAAUCUACUUUUUCGUGGGGGAUAACGUAGGGAAACUUACGCUAAUACCGCAUACGACCUACGGGUGAAAGCAGGGGAUCUUCGGACCUUGCGCGAUUGAAUGAGCCGAUGUCGGAUUAGCUAGUUGGCGGGGUAAAGGCCCACCAAGGCGACGAUCCGUAGCUGGUCUGAGAGGAUGAUCAGCCACACUGGAACUGAGACACGGUCCAGACUCCUACGGGAGGCAGCAGUGGGGAAUAUUGGACAAUGGGCGCAAGCCUGAUCCAGCCAUACCGCGUGUGUGAAGAAGGCCUUCGGUUUGUAAAGCCCUUUUGUUGGGAAAGAAAAGCAGCAGGUUAAUACCCCGCUGUUCUGACGGUACCCAAAGAAUAAGCACCGGCUAACUUCGUG
rnacentral:rRNA from 1 species